rfam:Snow Mountain virus, complete genome.
AGCGGCCACCCCCACCACAUACGGAAGAACGAUUGCUGGAAUGGGGAGUCUU